UACGUAGGUGGCAAGCGUUGUCCGGAUUUAUUGGGUUUAAAGGGUGCGUAGGCGGCUUUGUAAGUCAGUGGUGAAAUAUUGCAGCUUAACUGUCAAGGUGCCAUUGAUACUGCGGAGCUUGAGUACAGAUGAGGUAGGCGGAAUUGACGGUGUAGCGGUGAAAUGCUUAGAUAUCGUCAAGAACACCUAUAGCGAAGGCAGCUUACUAGGCUGUAACUGACGCUGAGGCACGAAAGUGUGGGGAGCAAACAGG
rnacentral:rRNA from 1 species